rnacentral:rRNA from 1 species
AGCAGCCGCGGUAAUUCCAGCUCCAAUAGCGUAUAUUAAAGUUGUUGCAGUUAAAAAGCUCGUAGUUGAAUUUCGGGGUUUAUCCGUUGGUCGGGCUUUUUGGUCUGUACUGGCGUGAUGGAUUCCUACCUUCUGAAUAACCGGCAUGCCAUUAAUUUGGUGCGCCGGGGAAGCAGGACUGUUACCUUGAAAAAAUUAGAGUGCUUAAAGCAGGCUUAUGCCUGAAUACAUUAGCAUGGAAUAAUGAAAUAGGACGGCAUGGUUCUAUUUUGUUGGUUUCUAGGAUCACCGUAAUGAUUAAUAGGGAUAGUUGGGGGCAUUAGUAUUCAAUUGUCAGAGGUGAAAUUCUUGGAUUUAUUGAAGACUAACUUCUGCGAAAGCAUUUGCCAAGGAUGUUUUCAUUAAUCAAGAACGAAAGUUAGGGGAUCGAAGACGAUCAGAUACCGUCGUAGUCUUAACCAUAAACUAUGCCGACUAGGGAUCGGACGAUGUUAAUUUUUUAAUGACUCGUUCGGCGCCU